UCCCAGGUCCGUCUAAGUGGCAAGACAGCAGGGUGCACACUCUGAUUAAAUGGAGGUUCGAAUCCUUCCCUGGGAG
rnacentral:tRNA from 1 species